rnacentral:rRNA from 1 species
UACAGAGGUCUCACGCGUUGUUCGGAUUCAUUGGGCGUAAAGGGUGCGUAGGUGGCGCCGUAAGUGGGGUGUGAAAUCUCGGGGCUUAACUCCGAAACUGCAUUCCAUACUGCGGUGCUCGAGGACUGGAGAGGAGACUGGAAUUUACGGUGUAGCGGUGAAAUGCGUAGAGAUCGUAAGGAAGCCCAGUGGCGGAGGCGGGUCUCUGGACAGUUCCUGACACUGAGGCACGAAGGCCAGGGGAGCAAACGGG